CUGUCGUCUGCUUUACUCUCAACUCCAUUUUCUGUGGAGUUUUACCUCUGACCCGGUGUGACAGUAUGGAGUUGACAAAAAUUAUCUCUUGUAGUUUAUGGUACGGGUGUGUAUACCUGUCGUGUGUGUGUGUGUAUUCCGUACGUGUGUGUGUGUGUUAUCAAUCGUGCGAUACUCUUCCCCAGUGUGUGCUCCAAGGUUUACUUCGCCUGUCCCCGGCGCACCUGUUGCGACCUAUAUGUACGUCGCCUCGAUCCGUCUCCGCCAGGUAUGUGUGUGUUUUGAGAACACGUUUGCUCAAGGUGUGAGGAUGUCGUCCUCCAGUUCCUACUCACUGCUGAUAAGGCAAUGAAUGUACAGGAGGAGACUCCAUUCCCAGAAACUAGCUGAGCAAGCAGCCAUCCUGUCAUUCCAGUCGACCUUCUUCCUCCCGAUGAGCGUGUUUUUUCGGGCUUCUCUCUCUCUCGCUCUCUGUGCGAACAUUACAGUGAAAUGAAUUACACAUUACAGUGAAAUGCAUACUGCUUGUACAGGUGGGUGAUGAAGAUUGUAAACGGGUUGUGCGUGACUUUUGACCGUCACCAGGCGUUAUUGCGUGCGUUAAAACCAAAGUGUAAUUUUUUUUUCUCUCGGUGACUGUGUUGAGGUAAGUACAAGAUGUGUUCCUACAAUCUCAAGUCCCCUUAUACCCCUCUUCUCGAGAUAAAGCCUACAAACAGGCACAGGUCACAGGUCACAAACUCUGACAUCACGACUGUACAUGUCUCUUGCGUUGUCAUGACUAUAGACAAUGACAGGACUGGGGUCAUAUGUUGUAGAGCACCAAUGAUGUCUACUGAUGCAUUCUUAGACAUUUGUAUACCACGGCUUUCCGUAAGUGAGGAUGUCUCAAGUCUUAUCUCGACAAUGGAGGGAGAGAGAUGCAUCAUCUCUGAUUCUGGAAAACAGUUUAUUGUGUUGACCUCAUUACAGUUUCAAUGUUGGCCAGUGUACUGAUUGUAGAUGAAUGGUGGACAAACGAUAUCGUGCAAGGGUUACAAAUGAAUGUCGGACAAUG